AUUGAACGCUGGCGGCAGGCCUAACACAUGCAAGUCGAACGGUAACAGGAAACAGCUUGCUGUUUCGCUGACGAGUGGCGGACGGGUGAGUAAUGUCUGGGAAACUGCCUGAUGGAGGGGGAUAACUACUGGAAACGGUAGCUAAUACCGCAUAACGUCGCAAGACCAAAGAGGGGGACCCUCGGGCCUCUUGCCAUCGGAUGUGCCCAGAUGGGAUUAGCUUGUUGGUGGGGUAACGGCUCACCAAGGCGACGAUCCCUAGCUGGUCUGAGAGGAUGACGGGCCACACUGGAACUGAGACACGGUCCAGACUCCUACGGGAGGCAGCAGUGGGGAAUAUUGCACAGAGGGCGCAAGCCUGAUGCAGCCAUGCCGCGUGUAUGAAGAAGGCCUUCGGGUUGUAAAGUACUUUCAGCGGGGAGGAAGGGAGUAAAGUUAAUACCUUGGCUCAUUGACGUUACCCGCAGAAGAAGCACCGGCUAACUCCGUG
rnacentral:rRNA from 1 species